rnacentral:tRNA from 2 species
GGCGUGGCCAAGUGGUAAGGCAGCGGGUUUUGGUCCCGUUACUCGGAGGUUCGAAUCCUUCCGUCCCAGA